CGUGCAAUCAGGGGCGAUCCGAGACGAGUCAGCCGGUUGUCUGAUCUCAAGCCAUUCCGCCUCCGUGUCGACGGCGGAGAGAAAAGCCGAGAGACUCCUUCGCUGCACCGGCUGCAGUGGCAGCGACGAGCCGCGGCGGUGCGACCGGCUCCUGUCUGCUCGUGCCUCCCAGAAUCCCGGUUUCCACCAACAAGAACCCCUCCAGAGAAUCCAGACUUGGCCACCAUUCUGGAUCAGCUUGGUCUCCUUCCGUUCUCACUCCUGUCUGGACUGGUUCACUCCCUUCUGUCUCUCCGACGCCAGCCGCCAGCCGCCAGCCACGCCAAUGCCAGCCACAAACAGCGGCAGCUGCCAUUCCACUGUGGAACGCCAGCCACACCAUCAGCCGCCAUCAGCUAAGUUCCUUUUUUUUUCUCGUCUGCAUUUAUUCUCAUUGUUUAACUCCACAAAAGAGGUGUCAACAUUAUAUGAGAUUGAUGCAUAUUUUAGUCUUGCAGCCAAAUAUUUUAAUAUUUAGUGCAUGUGUGUGACCAUCACCAGCCCUCCCUGGAAGCUAAGCAGACAUUCUUUAUUAGAAUUCCCUAUUAUGAGCCAGGGAGGGCAGUGCUACACCUCAGUGAUGUGUGGGGGAAACAAAGACUGGACAGGACGAACAGGACGAACAGGAUGAACAGGGAUAGGAAAUAACAGGCGGUGCAAUUGCAAUUAAAGAUUGUGAGGUGGUGUGUUAUUCCCAACUACUAACUGCCCAUCAAUAAAACAGAAAAAAAAAACAAACAAUAAACACAACAAAAAAAGAGAUUCAAUAAAUAAAUAAUUAAACAAACGGUACUGAACACCAUAAUUGUGAAUGUCUUGACAGUAUAGAAUAGAAUAGGCCAGAAGAGGAUACUAGUGAAAAAGAGAAUGAGUUUAGUGUAGAGACUCUGGAGAGAUUCUCAGCACAUUCUGGCGGGUCCCAUCAUUCGCAGUCAAUGGGACUCGACAGGAGCUGGCGAGACCUGAUCAAACAUGCUAAGUUCCUAACCUGAACAGUACCAGACUCUAGUCACUCAUUGCUCCAUUUCUGGAUUACUGUCUGCAUUCAUUGUGCUACUGUUUAGCCAACCUCUGAUCAUUGUAUUUAGUGUUCAUGGUUGCGUGUAUUCAUGGUUAUCUUGGUCUGUCUAGUAUUCCUGCCUUGGUGUUGCCAUAUGUGGGUCUGCUAUUUGUUAGAAUAUUCUGAUCACAGUAUUUUGAGUUGGAUCCAGCUACUUUUGAUUGUAUUCCUGUCUUGGUGUUACCAUACGUGGGUCUGCUAACUUUGCCUUAUUCUGUCCUUGUAUUCUAGUCUGCCUCCCCGCUAGGAGGAGUCGUGUCUUUCUGCCGCCUUGAGCGGAACCUGCUAUUUCCCACUAUCGUGUAGUUUUCCGGUUGGCAGUUAUUGUUCUGUAUUGUGUUCCUGUUCUGUAAAUAAACGUUCUUAAAUUGC